AGGAGAAGAUCAAGCUGACCCAUGGGAAGUACCUCCUGCAGGAGCAGCUGAAGAUCAUUAAGAAAGAGCUGGGCCUGGAGAAGGAGGACAAGGACGCCAUCAAGGAGAAGUUUAGGGAGCGCACUGUGCCCCAGCACAUCAUGGACGUCAUCAAUGAGGAGCUCAACAAACUCAGCCUGCUGGACUUUGCUGUGUGACCCGGAACUAUCUGGACUGGCUAACCUCAAUGCCCUGGGGAACUAAUAGUGAGGAGAACCUAGUGCUGAAACGGGCUGAAGAGGUGCUGGAGGAGGACUAUUAUGGGAUGGACGACGUCAAGAAACACAUUCUGGUUGACAAGAUAGGCUCUGCUGGAGUUCCUGGACCCGGAACAGAACUUCAACUUUCUGGAUCACAACCUAGAUGUGCCUGUGGUCCUGUCCAAUGUAGGUGGACACACACACACAUACCUGUUAGGAUGUACCUG